GAUGAACGCUGACAGAAUGCUUAACACAUGCAAGUCAACUGUGGCGGACGGGUGAGUAACGCGUAAAGAACUUGCCUCACAGCUAGGGACAACCUUUGGAAACGAAUGCUAAUACCUGAUACGGUGAGAGAGCUUUGCGUCCCAUUAGCUAGUUGGAGAGGUAACGGCGCACGAAGGCGAUGAUGGGUAGCCGGCCUGAGAGGGUGAUCGGCCACAGGGGGACUGAGACACGGCCCUUACUCCUACGGGAGGCAGCAGUGGGGAAUAUUGGACAAUGGACCAAAGUCUGAUCCAGCAAUUCGGUGUGAACGAUGAAGUUUUCGGAAUGUAAAGUGCUUUCAGUUGGGAAGCGGUACCAACAGAAGAAGUGACGGCUAAAUACGUGCCAGCAGCCGCGGUAAUAC
rnacentral:rRNA from 1 species